rnacentral:rRNA from 1 species
AUCAGGGAUCUUGCACAAUGAGCGAAAGCUAGAUGCAGCGAUGCCGCGUGGAUGAGGAAGUCCUUCGGGAUGUAAAGUCCUUUUAAACGGGAAGAUGAUGACGGUACCGUUUGAAUAAGCCCCGGCUAACUACGUGCCAGCAGCCGCGGUAAUACGUAGGGGGCGAGCGUUGUCCGGAAUUAUUGGGCGUAAAGCGCGUGCAGGCGGUUGUUUAAGUUCGUGGUGAAAGACCGGGGCUCAACCCCGGAGUGUCCGCGAAGACUGGACGACUGGAGUGUCGGAGAGGAGUGCGGAAUACCUGGUGUAGCGGUGGAAUGCGUAGAGAUCAGGUGGAACACCGAUGGCGAAGGCAGCACUCUGGCCGAAUACUGACGCUGAGACGCGAAAGCGUGGGGAGCGAACGG